UGGGGAAUAUUGGACAAUGGGCGCAAGCCUGAUCCAGCCAUGCCGCGUGAGUGAUGAAGGCCUUAGGGUUGUAAAGCUCUUUCACCCACGACGAUAAUGACGGUAGUGGGAGAAGAAGCCCCGGCUAACUUCGUGCCAGCAGCCGCGGUAAUACGAAGGGGGCUAGCGUUGCUCGGAAUCACUGGGCGUAAAGGGCGCGUAGGCGGCCGAUCAAGUCAGGGGUGAAAGCCUGUGGCUCAACCACAGAAUUGCCUUUGAUACUGUUCGGCUCGAGACCGGAAGAGGUUGGUGGAACUGCGAGUGUAGAGGUGAAAUUCGUAGAUAUUCGCAAGAACACCAGUGGCGAAGGCGGCCAACUGGUCCGGUUCUGACGCUGAGGCGCGAAAGCGUGGGGAGCAAACAGGAUUAGAUACCCUGGUAGUCCACGCCGUAAAACGAUGAAUGCCAGCCGUUGGGCAGCUUGCUGCUCAGUGGCGCAGCUAACGCUUUAAGCAUUCCGCCUGGGGAGUACGGUCGCAAGAGUU
rnacentral:rRNA from 1 species